GUCCCAGCCAUUGCCGCCAUCACUGCCGCACUCACCUACCUCAACUACCGCGGUCUCCAUGUCGUCGGCCUCUCGGCCAUCCUCCUCGCCGCCUUCUCCCUGUCGCCAUUCAUUGCAAUGUCCCUCCUCUCCAUCCCCCGCCUCCAGCCCCGCCGCUGGCUUGCCAUCGACCGUCGGAAAAUUCAUUGGAGAGCUUACUUCAAUAGCAUGUUCUGG
rnacentral:misc_RNA from 1 species